UACGGGGGGGGCAAGCGUUGUUCGGAAUUACUGGGCGUAAAGGGCUCGUAGGUGGCCAACUAAGUCAGACGUGAAAUCCCUCGGCUUAACCGAGGAACUGCCUGUCAAACUGCAUGGCUUGAGACCAGGAGAGGUGAGUGGAAUUCCCAGUGUAGCGGUGAAAUGCGUAGAUAUUGGGAGGAACACCAGUGGCGAAGGCGGCUCACUGGACUGGUACUGACGCUGAUGCGCGAAAGCGUGGGGAGCAAACAGG
rnacentral:rRNA from 1 species